rnacentral:rRNA from 1 species
CGGGUGAGUAACACGUGGGUAACCUGCCUUCAGCUCUGGGAUAAGCCCGGGAAACUGGGUCUAAUACCGGAUAUGACGCAUCACCGCAUGGUGUGUGUGUGGAAAGUUUUUCGGCUGAAGAUGGACUCGCGGCCUAUCAGCUUGUUGGUGGGGUAGUGGCCUACCAAGGCGAUGACGGGUAGCCGGCCUGAGAGGGCGACCGGCCACACUGGGACUGAGACACAAUACAAAAUUUAUACGGGAGGCAGCAGUGGGGAAUAUUGCGCAAUGGGCGAAAGCCUGACGCAGCAACGCCGCGUGAGGGAUGACGGCCUUCGGGUUGUAAACCUCUUUCAGCGCUGACGAAGCUUUCGGGUGACGGUAGGAGCAGAAGAAGCACCGGCUAACUACGUGCCAGCAGCCGCGGUAAUACGUAGGGUGCGAGCGUUGUCUGGAAUUAUUGGGCGUAAAGGGCUCGUAGGCGGUUUGUCACGUCUGCUGUGAAAGCCCGGCGCUUAACCCCGGGUCUGCAGUGGAUACGGGCAGGCUAGAGUUCGGCAGGAGAUACUGGAAUUCCUGGUGUAGCGGUGGAAUGCGCAGAUAUCAGGAGGAACACCGGUGGCGAAGGCGGUUCUCUGGGCCGAUACUGACGCUGAGGAGCGAAAGCGUGGGGAGCGAACAGCAUUAGAUACCCUGGUAGUCCACGCCGUAAACGUUGGGCGCUAGGUGUGCCUUCCCUUCCACGGGUCCGUGCCGUAACUAACGCCAUUCAGCCGCCCCCGCCUGGGGAGUACGGACGCAAAGAAUAAAUACUUCAAAGGGACUCGACGGGGGCCCGGCA